rnacentral:tRNA from 1 species
CAGGACAUAGCAUAAAGCAAAGCAUCUCCCUUACUCUGAGAAGACGCCCAUGCAAACUGGGCUGCCCCGA